rnacentral:rRNA from 1 species
UACGUAGGGGCGCGAGCGUUUAUCCGGAAUUAUUGGGCGUAAAAGAGCUCGUAGGCGGUUUUGUCGCGUCUGCUGUGAAAACUCGAGGCUCAACCUCGGGCUUGCAGUGGGUACGGGCAGACUAGAGUGCGGUAGGGGGUGACUGGAAUUCCUGGUGUAGCGGUGGAAUGCGCAGAUAUCAGGAGGAACACCGAUGGCGAAGGCAGGUCACUGGGCCGCAACUGACGCUGAGGAGCGAAAGCAUGGGGAGCGAACAGG